AAAAGAUAUUGCGAACCAAAAGGUUGUGCAAUUGUACAUUUGGGAAUGAUACUGAGAUAAUCCAGUACCCAAAUGAACGAUGUGCAUAUUUAUAAGAGCACAAAGAUUAGUGACGUUGAGUACUUCUGUUUAUUAAAAGUUCACAGCCUUAGACAGCUUUCUCGAGCUUAGCGCAUUUAGUUCUCGUUAGUAUGGCGUACAGCUCUAUUGAUCAACCCAUUUAGCUACAGCUUAUAAGUCCUAUUUCCCGUGUAUAAAAUACUCACUUUCAUCUCCAACGAUAUCUUAAUACGUUUAUGCAGACGCUUCCAUGGUUUUUUCCGCUAUUGGUAGCGGAGAUCUUUGCCCGGAAUUUUAAAUGGACAACUAGGAUUGAAAGGGUGUAAGCGACGUGGUGAAGAAAAAAACUUCGCCGAUGGAGACAAGUUUAAAGCUUCCAGGAUGCUUUAAGAGAAUUUAAAAGACGGCGGACGUGGUCCGAAUGCAGAAGAUACUCGACGUUUUGUCGCGGCAGUAUUUGAAAUUAUUCAAUAAAAAGUUCGGGCCUUUAAUUGUAGUUUCCAUAAACAAUAGUUCAAAUAAUCGUUGGUGGUAGGAAAUAAAUAUAAUAUCAUGUCUUAAAGACUUGUUUGGACUUCAAUUCUUACUCACAAAAUAAAUUGUCAUCUUUUUGCUGCGUAAAACUCGGCCCUUUUCAUUAAUUUAUAUCCUGACAGCUUUAGAGCUUAAAUGUAAUUGCAUUUCCCAAACAGUGUUUUAUGCAGGUGAUAAUUGUCCGUUGGGCGUUAAUAUUUCAGUUGAGCUUUGUUCGUCAGUAGGCGACUGUCACAACGAAAGGUUGAAGCUUAAGUGCAAGCACUCAGCGAAUCUGCAGGAGUGAACGACAGAAAUGAAAUAUGGAUAUCCCCAGCACUGAAAUGGGUUCUUCGCGUACGUUUCAAAAUUUACCAGUUGUGCAGCUACAAACCCACCAAAACUGAAGAAAAUCGCCACGCGCUGGAUAGUGCUUUUACGGC